rnacentral:lncRNA from 1 species
ACUCCCAUGUGAAACAGGUUCUGCAGACGUUGUUGAAAAAUAAACUUUAUUGUAAAUUAGAAAAGUGCAUAUUUGACCAGCCUGAAGUCCACUUUUUGGGUUACAACAUCUCUGCAUCGGGAUUUCAAAUGGAUCCUAAAAAAACUAGAGGCUGUACUACACUGGCCAUUACCCUCUGGUUUAAAAGCCAUUCAAAGGUUUAUUGGUUUUGCCAACUAUUACA